AUUGAACGCUGGCGGCAGGCUUAACACAUGCAAGUCGAGCGGAGAUGAGGUGCUUGCACCUUAUCUUAGCGGCGGACGGGUGAGUAAUGCUUAGGAAUCUGCCUAUUAGUGGGGGACAACAUUCCGAAAGGAAUGCUAAUACCGCAUACGUCCUACGGGAGAAAGCAGGGGGUCUUCGGACCUUGCGCUAAUAGAUGAGCCUAAGUCGGAUUGGCUAGUUGGUGGGGUAAAGGCCUACCAAGGCGACGAUCUGUAGCGGGUCUGAGAGGAUGAUCCGCCACACUGGGACUGAGACACGGCCCAGACUCCUACGGGAGGCAGCAGUGGGGAAUAUUGGACAAUGGGGGGAACCCUGAUCCAGCCAUGCCGCGUGUGUGAAGAAGGCCUUAUGGUUGUAAAGCACUUUAAGCGAGGAGGAGGCUACUGAGACUAAUACUCUUGGAUAGUGGACGUUACUCGCAGAAUAAGCACCGGCUAACUCUGUGCCAGCAGCCGCAGUAA
rnacentral:rRNA from 1 species